rnacentral:rRNA from 1 species
AAUCUGGUCGGGGUCGAGUGUAAUUUGUAGAGAGUGCUUCGGGGGAGACCACGGUCUAAGUCCGUUGGAACAUGGCGUCAGAGAGGGUGAGAAUCCCGUAUGUGACCGUGGCUCGAGCCCAUGUGAAGCCUCUUCGACGAGUCGAGUUGUUUGGGAAUGCAGCUCAAAAUGGGUGGUAAAUUUCAUCUAAAGCUAAAUACUGGCUGGAGACCGAUAGCGCACAAGUAGAGUGAUCGAAAGAUGAAAAGCACUUUGGAAAGAGAGUGAAACAGUACGUGAAAUUGUUGAAAGGGAAGCGCUGGCAACCAGACCUGUCCGUAGGCGAUCGGCCACUGUUUUCAGUGGUGCACUCGCUCUGCGAUCAGGCCAGCAUCGGUUUCGGCGGUCGGAUAAAGACCUUGGGAACGUAGCUCCUCUCCGGGGGAGUGUUAUAGCCCUCGGUGCAAUGCGGCCAGCCGGGACCGAGGACCGCGCUUCGGCUAGGAUGCUGGCGUAAUGGUUGUCAGCGACCCGUCUUGAAACACGGACCAAGGAGUUGACCAUUGAUGCGAGUGUUUGGGUGUCAAACCCAUGCGCGGAAUGAAAGUGAACGGAGGUGAGAACCCUUAAGGGCGCAUCAUCGACCGAUCCAGAUGUCUUCGGAUGGAUUUGAGUAUGAGCAUUUCUGGUCUGACCCGAAGGUGAACUAUGCCUGAAUAGGGUGAAGCCAGAGGAAACUCUGGUGGAGGCUCGCAGCGGUUCUGACGUGCAAAUCGAUCGUCAAAUUUGGGUAUAGG